rnacentral:lncRNA from 1 species
UUAUUAUUCAUCUUUAUUUGCAAGCACACCGCACACGCUUCAAAACAACACAUACAUUUUCUAGCAAGUAGCAGCAACAAGAGCAUCCUCAGUUGCUAAAUAUAGGCCAAGAAACUAGUUGAUUUGCAGAGAAUGCCGUACAACAAUUUUCUUGAGCAACAUGAGACAGCGCAGCACUUGUCGAAACAAGCUAACCAAGAGUUCCUCCAUAAAAUCCUGUGUUUCACUCACAAACAACGAUAAUCAGCAGCAACGAACAAUGAAAAGAAAUCAUGAGCAUAUAGUGUAGCACAAAGCCAAAAAAAAUUGAAAAACAAGAGAGUUUGAAUAAAUGUGUCUGUUCUAUUAAUAAUACUACAUUAUAACAUACCGCCAGUGAUGAGCUGUGUACAUUAUAAGGAUGUUGAAUAGGUAAAGGUUGCCAACUGGCUACAGGGAGAGAGACACCUUUGCUAAUUACUAGCGAAUAUUCCUAUCCAUGCAUAUCUGCGCUACUAAACACCUCUGUAACAAGCAUUUGGACACAAGAAAUGUCACAAUGAAAGAGAAUAACUUGCGUACCAGCCCAUUCCCUAUUUCUGUACUGUGUACAGGACUUAAUGGAAAAUGGUAAC